rnacentral:rRNA from 1 species
UACGUAGGGUGCGAGCGUUGUCCGGAUUUAUUGGGCGUAAAGAGCUCGUAGGCGGUUUGUCGCGUCGGCCGUGAAAUCUCCACGCUUAACGUGGAGCGUGCGGUCGAUACGGGCAGACUUGAGUUCGGUAGGGGAGACUGGAAUUCCUGGUGUAGCGGUGAAAUGCGCAGAUAUCAGGAGGAACACCGGUGGCGAAGGCGGGUCUCUGGGCCGAU